rnacentral:rRNA from 1 species
CCUACGGGUGGCUGCAGUGGGGAAUAUUGGACAAUGGGCGAAAGCCUGAUCCAGCCAUGCCGCGUGUGUGAAGAAGGCCUUCGGGUUGUAAAGCACUUUCAGUGGGGAAGAAAGCCUUGGGGCUAAUACCCUCGAGGAAGGACAUCACCCACAGAAGAAGCACCGGCUAACUCCGUGCCAGCAGCCGCGGUAAUACGGAGGGUGCGAGCGUUAAUCGGAAUUACUGGGCGUAAGGCGCGCGUAGGCGGUCUGAUAAGCCGGUUGUGAAAGCCCCGGGCUCAACCUGGGAACGGCAUCCGGAACUGUCAGGCUAGAGUGCAGGAGAGGAAGGUAGAAUUCCCGGUGUAGCGGUGAAAUGCGUAGAGAUCGGGAGGAAUACCAGUGGCGAAGGCGGCCUUCUGGACUGACACUGACGCUGAGGUGCGAAAGCGUGGGUAGCAAACAGGAUUAGAUACCCUAGUAGUC